rnacentral:rRNA from 1 species
UACGUAGGGUGCGAGCGUUAAUCGGAAUUACUGGGCGUAAAGCGCGUGUAGGCGGCUUGGCAAGUUGAAUGUGAAAGCCCACGGCUCAACCGUGGAAGCGCAUCCAAAACUGCUUCGCUCGAGUCUCGGAGAGGAAGGUGGAAUGCUUGGUGUAGAGGUGAAAUUCGUAGAUAUCAAGCAGAACACCUGCGGCGAAGGCGGCCUUCUGGACGAUGACUGACGCUGAGACGCGAAAGCGUGGGGAGCAAACAGG